rnacentral:rRNA from 1 species
GUCAGCGGCAGACGGGUGAGUAACGCGUGGGAACGUACCUUUUGGUUCGGAACAACACAGGGAAACUUGUGCUAAUACCGGAUAAGCCCUUACGGGGAAAGAUUUAUCGCCGAAAGAUCGGCCCGCGUCUGAUUAGCUAGUUGGUGAGGUAAUGGCUCACCAAGGCGACGAUCAGUAGCUGGUCUGAGAGGAUGAUCAGCCACAUUGGGACUGAGACACGGCCCAAACUCCUACGGGAGGCAGCAGUGGGGAAUAUUGGACAAUGGGCGCAAGCCUGAUCCAGCCAUGCCGCGUGAGUGAUGAAGGCCCUAGGGUUGUAAAGCUCUUUUGUGCGGGAAGAUAAUGACGGUACCGCAAGAAUAAGCCCCGGCUAACUUCGUGCCAGCAGCCGCGGUAAUACGAAGGGGGCUAGCGUUGCUCGGAAUCACUGGGCGUAAAGGGUGCGUAGGCGGGUCUUUAAGUCAGGGGUGAAAUCCUGGAGCUCAACUCCAGAACUGCCUUUGAUACUGAAGAUCUUGAGUUCGGGAGAGGUGAGUGGAACUGCGAGUGUAGAGGUGAAAUUCGUAGAU